rnacentral:rRNA from 1 species
GACGAACGCUGGCGGCGUGCCUAAUACAUGCAAGUCGAACGAACCGCGACUAGGUGCUUGCACUUGGUCAAGGUGAGUGGCGAACGGGUGAGUAACACGUGGGUAACCUACCUCAUAGUGGGGGAUAACAGUCGGAAACGACUGCUAAUACCGCAUAGGACAUAGGAUCACAUGAUCCAGUGAGGAAAGGUGGCGCAAGCUAUCGCUAAGAGAUGGACCCGCGGUGCAUUAGCUAGUUGGUAGGGUAAAGGCCUACCAAGGCGAUGAUGCAUAGCCGACCUGAGAGGGUGAUCGGCCACAUUGGGACUGAGACACGGCCCAAACUCCUACGGGAGGCAGCAGUGGGGAAUCUUCCGCAAUGGACGCAAGUCUGACGGAGCAACGCCGCGUGAGUGAAGAAGGUCUGCGGAUCGUAAAGCUCUGUUGUUAGAGAAGAACAGCGCAUAGAGUAACUGUUAUGCGUGUGACGGUAUCUAACCAGAAAGCCACGGCUAACUAC